rnacentral:lncRNA from 1 species
UGAAAUACAAAUACACCCACAUGCCAAUUAUGCAAAUAUCAUAAUGAAUAAAUUUAAAUUGCACCUUGACUAAGUAAGCCUGUAAGCUUUGUCCGAGUCUAAGUUUCUCAACUUUUGAUAGGAGAACAAAGGGAAAGAAGAAAAAGAGAAAGAAGAGAGCACUUGUAAAGCCAAUAGAACAAAGUUAAGGAAUCACCUUAAUGGUCAAAAGCUUCUCUCCAC